UGCCACGUUCUGUGCGUCCAAAUAAAACCCUAGUCUAAAAAAUCCCCAAAUACACCCGUGCCCACUCCCACCUGACUCGGAUCUCCUCUCACCGGCGGCGCCUCCAAGUCAGUCGCCGCCAGCCGCGCCACCCAAAAUCGCCUCCCCUCCUCCGCCCUCUGGUCCACCGCGCCACCCUCUCUCUGUUCGAUGCCACGUCCCCAGGCACCACUACACCGACACCAGCCUGCGACAUUUGCUGUCUGGUUCGACCUCCAUGCAACCUCCUCCGCCACUUCUUGGAUGGCUCAAGACCAUCGCUCUCUCCAUCUCCGGCGCCUUGCCCAGCUUCGUUUCUCACCUCGUGCCUCACCAUGAUCCGGCCGCUGCCUCACCCUCCCGCCACCAUCAACUACUUGAAGAUCAGCUUCGUCCGACGAACCAACAAGACAGCGGCGGCGGAGAGAUCAGGUUUGGGAGAGGCAACCCGACGAUGCAAAGAGGCCAGGGGAUGAGUUGGAAACUCUUCAAGGAACCCGCGUGUAGCACCAUCAGAUCUGGUCCCCUUCCAACUAUUUGAUGAUCACCUCUCCCUGGUUGCAGUUAAUCUAGAUGAGGAGUAAGAAUGUAAGAUCAAUGUCAUUCUUAUUGGUUUAUACUUCUAUGGUCCUGCCUUUCUCUAAAUUUCUAUGAUGAAUAAUUUCAACGCAGGUUUCCCUUUUAUGCUGCAAGAUCAUUCAAUCUCCAGCAUGCUCAAGAACAUCUAAUGUGUGACUACACUCUGUGUCCAGAGUAUUAAAAAUGAAACUGUAUUAGGAAUAGCCUUUUAUUAGAAGCUAUAUGCACAAGAAAUUAAUAUUCUGUGAUAAUAGUUAAUAAGUUAAACAUAUGUUGAGGGCUCCUAUCAUGGGCCAUACCAUGUCUUCUUAGUUGCUAGGUACUGUAAAAUCUGUAUAUUAAAAGGUUUAUUCAGAUGCUAAUACUGCUCGGUGAAAGAGAAAGUUAUUAUGUUAAUUCUGUAAUAUUUUUUCUCCAUGCGAUCACUUGUCAGUAUAUUGUUUCUCUUCUGUUUUAUUCCACUAUAAUGCAGGUGCAUUAAAUAUUAAUUGACUGCUCACUGUAGGUAGUAGGUUAAGUUUGCAAUAUCAAGAUAAUCUUAUCGGCCUUGCAAUGUUGGUACAGUCUGAAGCUUAAUCUUUUUACUACUUGCUUCUCCACUUCCUAUUUUUUUACAGUCCAGUACUUGACAAUUCCUUACCUGGUUGUGUAUGCUUAACAUUUAAGCUCAUUGUGUCCUUCCUUUGCCCAUAAUUUGUAUUUUUAUUUGUUAUAUUUAGAAUGAGGAAGCAUCAAGCAUCGUACAACUGUAGUGCAAGUAUACAAGUAGCUGUAGCUGCUGGAGAAGAUGAGCAAGCACACAACAGAUUCACAUACUGUAGUCUACGGUACUAGUACUAGUUGCUUAUGGCACUUAGUUGUAUUUAAGGUGAUGAACGGCCAAAUUCGUAGCAUGUCUAAAUCAAUUCAGAUAUGAGAAAACACAGACUUAAUAGGAAUAAGGUGGCCUGCGAUGGUCUGGUGGCGACCUUUAGAGUUUAGAUAUUAAAUCAUUCUGAGAUUGUUCAAUAUUGAAUGGAUGCCACUCCUUACUAAAAACAUUUUUGUGUUUGCUUUGCUAAGUACAUUACUGAUCUGUUUUUUAUGGUUUUUUAUGAUGUGCUGAUCUAAACUUGUGUAUUAACCAAAGCAUCAAACAACUAUACUUAUGCAGCUAAUUAUGAAAUAUGUUAAGUAGCACAGUACUUAAAAGUGCAGUGGGGAUCCAUGUAAAUUAUUUUGACCGACAACUUUUUAUACCAGUUUGUGUCUUCUUGUUCUGCCAAACAAAUUUAUUGUUUUACCAGCCCCAUCUUCAUGCCGCAAAUCUAGCUAAUAAUGUACUCAGGUUCAUAAUUUCAUAGAUUGUAAGCUUCUUAGUGGCAUUCUUAUACCUUGUUAUCUUGUAUGUUUUCAUCUCAUUAAGAUGUAACACACUGUUGUAUUUCAUUAAUUUAUAUAGGCACUGGGAGGAGUUCAAGACAGAGCAUGUGAUUUGGCUGAAGCAACUCAGCAAGCAAAUAAUCCAAAGCUGAUGGUGAAUGAAGGCCAUCUUUUGUGAUAGAAAGAUAGUUUGUAGAAUCAUACAUUGCAAUCAUGAGAACAACACAUAUGGUCUUUUUAGUUAUCUAUAGAUAUCACUUAUCGUCUUGUCUAUUGUCAGGCCAAACUUGAGUCGGUGCUAUUAUUUAUUGUCAUUUCUA